UACGGAGGGGGCUAGCGUUGUUCGGAAUUACUGGGCGUAAAGCGCACGUAGGCGGCUUUGUAAGUUAGAGGUGAAAGCCCGGGGCUCAACUCCGGGAAUUGCCUUUAAGACUGCAUCGCUAGAAUUGUGGAGAGGUAAGUGGGAAUUCCGAGUGUAGAGGUGAAAUUCGUAGAUAUCAGGAAGAACACCCGUGGCUAAGGCGGCUCUCUAGUACGGUACUGACGCUGAGACGCGAAAGCGUGGGGAGCGAACGAGG
rnacentral:rRNA from 1 species